GACUCCUACUGGUGUUGACAUCCUCAUGACUGGGCCGGCCCCAGGCAGCAUCGAUUUCUCCUGGAAAUGCCGACACCCAUUAAGCAAUUCGAUUCCAAAUGAAGUCAAAGCCACAUGCCAACUCUGCCAAUCUCCCCUAGUUCUUCAAAUCCAAGCUCCCUUGAUCGAUGGGGCCGAUCCCUCCCAGGUGAUCUGGUCAAAUGAAGCUCUCUAGCUUGAGCUCU
rnacentral:lncRNA from 1 species